GCCAUUUGGGAUACUUGAUAAUACUGUAGUUUUAAAAGUUGUGUUAUAAACAAACUAUCAAAACAACCGGUCUUUUGAUCAUCUCAGCCAGACUUUGUUCGAGAAUGUGCCUUGUUCGAGAAUGUGCCGAUCCUUUCUAAUUGCAUAACCAAUAUUUUUAAUCUUUCAUUCUGUAUAUUUUAAUCUUUUCUUUUCAUUGGGUAUAUUUUGUCUUCUAAUCUUUUAUUUUUUAAAGAUGCUGCAAAGUCCGUUCUGCGCAUCACGGCAUCAGUUCUGCUCCGUAACAAAGAGGGACCCGCAUUGCCCAAAUUUUGCAUCUUUCGUCUUUCGAAUUUCUUUGAAUUGCCUGGAUCAGUGGCG